ensembl:snRNA U1 U1 spliceosomal RNA
AUACUUCGUGGGCAGGGAUGAUACUGUGUUUACAAAAGUGCUUGCCCAGGGUGAGGUUUAUCCAUUACUCUCUGGAUAUGCUGACCCUCCAAUUUCUCUGAAUGUGGAAAAGUCAUCUGCAGGUUUUGAUAGUGGUGGACUGUGUUCACACUUUUCCCUG